GACAGAGGAUUGUAAAGAAAAAGGAAACAGAUCUAGUGGUAUAAUUUGCUCAAAAGGGCCAAAUCCAAACACCCACUGACAAAGAGUAUGGUUGAGCUCGAGCUAGGAGCCAAAAAGCUUUCGACCUUUCCCCUUCUCCCUCACCUUUUCCCUGCUUCCAACUGUAUUUUUAAUCCUUGUGAUCUGUUUGCCUUUCUUUUCGCCUUUCGAGGAUCGCUUUUCCACUCGAAAGGAGGAUGUUUUCGGGCUUGAUCCACAGACCGGAAGCUUCGAUUCCACCGGAGGAGGCACACGGCCCUAGCCUGGUACUGACGGCGGACCCCAAGCCGCGUCUCCGAUGGACGGCGGACCUCCACGAGCGCUUCGUCGAUUCCGUCGCCCAGCUCGGCGGACCUGAAAAGGCAACACCAAAGGCUAUCAUGAGGACAAUGGGUGUUAAGGGACUUACUCUUUUUCACCUAAAGAGUCAUCUCCAGAAAUAUAGACUAGGAAAGCAAUCAGCCAAAGAGCUAACUGAGCAAUCAAAAGAUGUCUCCUACCUUUCGGAGAAUCCCAGCAGCAGUGCUUUGUCUCCGAGAGUGCCUACUCCUGACGUCAACGAGGGUCAAGAAGUCAAGGAGGCUUUAAGAGCACAAAUGGAAGUGCAAAGAAGACUGUUUGAGCAAGUGGAGGUUCAGAGACAUGUCCAGAUACGAAUGGACGCAUAUCAAAAGUACAUUGAUACCUUGCUAGUGAGGGCUUAUAAGAUAGCAUCAGAGCAAGUUGCUUCAAACAGCUUCCCCGUGACUGAGCAUGAACUUCCAGACAGGCCAGUCAGAGCCAUUUGCGCCCCAUCUGACAUUUUGAGUCCUGCAGUUCUCCAUCAGUUAUCAAUGAAUUCAAUUAACAUGCCCAGCUCUAGCUGCAAGACUUUGCCACACUCCACGAUCGAAAGCCUGUUCUUUUAUCAGAAGCCAUCAGAGUUGAAAAACAAACCAUGCUGAAAUGGUUUACAAAGUACAUUUGGGUAGCUGCUUAUUGGAGGAUUAUGAGGAAUCAUUCUUUUUUAUUUUUAUUUGGCUUCUCUGGAUUUAGGAUCAGAGAAAUAUGUUGGAACUGAGUUCUAAUGGUAGGAUCAGAGAAGCCUUUUCAUGGAGGAUAAAUAGCACGGAUGAUAGCUCAAUCCAACUCAGGUCGUGUGGAAUCACACAACUGUACCAAGAUUCCAAAAGCCAACAGAGAUCUGGCCAUGCCUUUUGCACGAUCGUGCCUCUGUGGUUGUGUCCAACAAUACCUAGGUCGUGCCAAAAGGUACAGCUAUGGUAGACUACACGAGGGGGUCGUGCUCCCUUACUAUAAAAGGGGAUUUCUCCUCCUUUUCCAGAAUCUUGGAUCUUGGGUAAGGGUUUUCCCCCUUGGGGGAGCCCUAGGCUUCACCCUCGUCGAUCUUCACCUAUCCGUCCACCUCUGGAGCAAGGAGAUGCCUCCAAGGAUGUCGUGCUUCAAAGAUAAGCAUCCUCUUCUCUCUCAAUCCAUGUGUUGAGCUGUAGAUGUUAUAUUUAUCGUUUUUUGGUUGUACCUCCCUUGUAAUAGAGUAGAUCUCUAGAUCUAUGAUAUAGGAAGUAGUUAUAUUGUGAUGUUGAUGUAUGAACUUAUAUUUAGACAUUUUCCUAUGCAAUGAUGUGUUUACUACU